UACGGAGGGGGCUAGCGUUGUUCGGAAUUACUGGGCGUAAAGCGCACGUAGGCGGCUUUGUAAGUUAGAGGUGAAAGCCCGGAGCUCAACUCCGGAAUUGCCUUUAAGACUGCAUCGCUAGAAUCGUGGAGAGGUGAGUGGAAUUCCGAGUGUAGAGGUGAAAUGCGUAGAUAUCAGGAGGAACACCGGUGGUGUAGACGGCUCUCUGGACAAUCACUGACGCUGAGACACGAAAGCGUGGGGAGCAAACAGG
rnacentral:rRNA from 1 species